GAGAAAGAGAUGGGCAUGUGCGUUUAGCUGCGCGAGUUGGGGAUGGCUUCCCCUGGAAUUGGAGGCGGUUGUGAGUUCCCUACCCCCACAUGGCUGGUAGGGACUGACUGAACUUCCAUCCUUUGCAAGAGCAGUAAGCACAGUUAACCAUUGAACAGUCUCUCCUGCCCCCGUGCCUCUUGGUGCAAUAGAUAAAAUGAGAAUUUGUUUCUUUCUCUUUUAAAUGGGAGUUUUGGUCUCUGCCUUUAUUGAUAACCCAGGAUCCCUUUCUAAUUUGUGUAGCAACCUGUAUUGGUGUGACCCACCAAAAGCCGAAGGAGUUAUUAUCAGCCUCGGCCCCGUGAGUUGUUCCAUAGGAAUAAGACAUGGUAUAACACUGAGUCUUUAUCCACAAACAUGAGACAUUCCCAGGCAUGUGGUUUACUUUGCCACCUAACCUCUGUGGCACGUGGAUUGCAGUUACAGCAGCUACAGCAAUGCUGGUAGCUAAAAACACAGAAGCGGUUCCGAUAGAGGUCUCGGGAGCAAAACACAAGCCGGUCUUCUACGGAAACAGAAAGGAAAAGAAUUACGGAGGGGAAGAGAAAAACUAAUUAAAGACAGGCCAGAAGAGCCAGAGCAUGUGAAAGAAGCUAAAAGAGGCAGCUGUGAGAGGAACCGCAAGCGCUCAGUCAUCUGCGGAAGCAACCGCUGACAGUCUGGGUCACGUUGCUGGAGCAGCCAUUAGGGAAGAGCGUGACAGUGCGGCGCCGCGCGGCGCAAGGACGGUUUGGCUGUGACGCAUGCUCUCCCCCCUCUCGACCCCCCCUCUCCGCGGCGCCAGAAAUCCAGGCUUCUAUAACUUGUAAGAUGGCGGCGUCCACACGUAUGCUUCCUUCCCGGGACUAGCAAGGCAGCUAGAGGAUGACUUAAUGAGAGUGGAGAAACUGGCCAGUUAAUGAACGUGCCCUGUUCAAGAUGUCCAACUUCCCAGCUGCUGCUCCAGCUACCGUGCCUGCCGCCUGCCGCCUCCCGCCUCCCCUGCAUCAUGGAACUUUCCCAGGUCCAGGCCUGAGGCAGUCGGGGCUGAACCAUGACCCAUAUACAAAACACAAGACGCAGGAAGAGGUAAAAGAACAGGGAGUAGAAGGGCUUUGGGGCCAAUGAAAUCUUAAUUUUAAUGGAUCCAGAGUCUGGGAACAGUCCGUUUGGCAUCAUCAUCUGUGGCUUUGGCUUUCUUCACCUGAGUGUAGUGGACCCAUGGUGAAAUGCCAGCUACCUUCAUGGUCAGAGGAAUAGAGAAUGACUGUGUAGGGUCCCUUUUAAGUUGGUGUCAAGGCCCCUUGUCUACCUUCUUGACCCAGCUGGUAUUAUUGGGCUUGAAUAAGGGGAAACUGCUGGUGGCUUAGAGGUCAGUUGGGUCUCUCAGUCUGAUGAAAAGCUUUAUGGAGAACUGGAAGGCCUGUAAUGACUAGUUUCAUCUUAAAUGAAGCUGGUCCUAUCACAGUAGAGCUCUGUAUUGAGAUCUUUCAAGGGGAUGUCAUCUCAAGACAUUCAUGGAUGAACAGCAUAGUCAUCACCAGGGAAGAGGGUAUUAGGGUUGAUGGUAGUAGGUCUCUGAAUCCAGACUCAAGGGUAGUCCAGGAAUAGGGUCUGGUACUAGAUCACACUGGCGUUAGACAAUCGGAAUUCUGGUGGUCCCCGGAGGAGGACCUCAGCUGUGUGAGUUGCUGUUUUAAGGUCUUGGCUCAGAGUUAAAUGUGUGGGCUUUUUUCAUUAGA
rnacentral:sRNA from 1 species